UACGUAGGUGGCAAGCGUUGUCCGGAUUUACUGGGCGUAAAGGGCGUGCAGGCGGUCUGUUAAGUGCAGGGUGAAAGCUCCCGGCUCAACUGGGAGAGGUCCUUGCAUACUGGCGGACUUGAGGGGGGUAGAGGAAAGUGGAAUUCCCGGUGUAGUGGUGAUAUGCGUAGAUAUCGGGAGGAACACCUGUGGCGAAGGCGGGAUCUCUGGGCCAUUACUGACGCUGAGGAGCGAAAGCGUGGGGAGCGAACAGG
rnacentral:rRNA from 1 species